UACGUAGGGUGCGAGCGUUGUCCGGAAUUAUUGGGCGUAAAGAGCUCGUAGGCGGCUUGUCGCGUCGACCGUGAAAACUUGGGGCUCAACCCCAAGCCUGCGGUCGAUACGGGCAGGCUCGAGUUCGGUAGGGGAGACUGGAAUUCCUGGUGUAGCGGUGAAAUGCGCAGAUAUCAGGAGGAACACCGGUGGCGAAGGCGGGUCUCUGGGCCGAUACUGACGCUGAGGAGCGAAAGCGUGGGGAGCGAACAGG
rnacentral:rRNA from 1 species